GCAACAGCUCAAAUUUGAAAUCUGGCUCACGCCCGAGUUGUAAUUUGUAGAGGAUGUUUCGGGUGAAGCCACGGUCCAAGUCCCUUGGAACAGGACGUCAGAGAGGGUGAGAACCCCGUACCUGGCCGUCGGUGCCCCCCGCUGUGAAACUCCUUCGACGAGUCGAGUUGUUUGGGAAUGCAGCUCUAAAUUGGUGGUAAAUUCCAUCUAAAGCUAAAUACCGGCCAGAGACCGAUAGCGCACAAGUAGAGUGAUCGAAAGAUGAAAAGCACUUUGAAAAGAGAGUUAAAAAGUACGUGAAAUUGUUGAAAGGGAAGCGCUUGCGGCCAGACUUGCCCGCGGUUGCUCAACCCGCCUUCUGGCGGGUGCACUCUUCCGCGGUCAGGCCAGCAUCGGUUUGGGCGGUCGGAUAAAGGCGCCGGGAACGUAGCCUCCUCUCGGGGAGGUGUUAUAGCCCGGCGUGCAAUGCGGCCAGCCCGGACCGAGGUUCGCGCUCUGCUAGGAUGCUGGCGUAAUGGCCGUAAGCGGCCCGUCUUGAAACACGGACCAAGGAGUCUAACAUCUAUGCGAGUGUUUGGGUGUCAAACCCGUGCGCGUAAUGAAAGUGAACGGAGGUGGGAACCCGCAAGGGCGCACCAUCGACCGAUCCUGAUGUCUUCGGAAGGAUUUGAGUAAGAGCAUAGCUGUUGGGACCCGAAAGAUGGUGAACUAUGCGUGAAUAGGGUGAAGCCAGAGGAAACUCUGGUGGAGGCUCGCAGCGGUUCUGACGUGCAAAUCGA
rnacentral:rRNA from 1 species